AUUGAACGCUGGCGGCAUGCCUUACACGUGCAAGUCGAACGGCAGCACGGUGCUUGCACCUGGUGGCGAGUGGCGAACGGGUGAGUAAUACAUCGGAACGUACCUUAUCGUGGGGGAUAACGCAGCGAAAGCUGUGCUAAUACCGCAUACGCCCUGAGGGGGAAAGCGGGGGAUCGAAAGACCUCGCGCGAUUAGAGCGGCCGAUGCCUGAUUAGCUUGUUGGUGGGGUAAAAGCCCACCAAGGCGACGAUCAGUAGCUGGUCUGAGAGGACGAUAAGCCACACUGGGACUGAGACACGGCCCAGACUCCUACGGGAGGCAGCAGUGGGGAAUUUUGGACAAUGGGGGCAACCCUGAUCGAGCAAUGCCGCGUGAGUGAAGAAGGCCUUCGGGUUGUAAAGCUCUUUUGUCAGGGAAGAAACACCGGCUCUAACACAGUCCGGGAAUGACGGUACCUGAAGAAUAAGCACCGGCUAACUACGUGCCAGCCGCCGCCGUAA
rnacentral:rRNA from 1 species